UAUUUAUAAAAAUAAAAUUUUAUCUUUACAAUGAAAAUGUAAUGUUUUUAUAAACUAUAUAAAC
rnacentral:tRNA from 1 species